CAAAACCCUAAUUUCUCACCGUGAAUGCAUGCCGAGCCGUCGGAAGCUGGUCGCAUCCAUGAAAAAAGGAACUAUACAAUGCACAAAUUCUUGUUGUUGCUUCAUGGCCACGCUAUGGACCGCGGAGUAUUUUUGGUGUAAAUGAAGAGCGCCCCUUCAUUUCAGUGUUUUUGUGACUUUGUCAACUUCGUUCUGCUUUCCUCACCGCCGAGACUGAAGCUAACGCGUGACGACAGUCGCCGCUCUCCUUCAUUCGUGUCUCCUGUUUAAUGCUUUAAGAAUUUAUUGAGUUGAAUGGGAAAUUCUUCUAGUCAAGAAGUUGGAAAGUCGAGUACGACAGCUGUCACAGAUGACACUGUAAAGAGAGCAGUCACGCCAGUUGCAGCAGCAGUUGGGCCUGCGGAGGCGCCGAAGAAGAAAAUUUGUUGCGCCUGUCCGGAGACGAAGAAGUUGCGGGACGAUUGCAUCGUGGAACAUGGGGAAAACGCUUGUGCGAAGUGGAUUGAGGCCCACAAGCAGUGCCUGCGGCGAGAGGGUUUUAAUGUGUAGUGGUAUUGAGCCUUGGAAGCGUGGAAAAUUUAUUUUUUGAUUGAGCAUCCGUCACUGCGAAGGAAUGAGAGAAUAACAUGAACUGAUCUAUGCAUUUUAACUUCGAUGGGGUUGAGAUCGCACGAGAAAGACAGAUCGGUUCAAUUUUUCAGGAGCGACUUGAAUGCAAUCUGGACAUGAAUAUUCUAGGAUUAAGCUAGAAUGUUCAUGCCCUGUGAGUUUUAACUUCUUGCAAGAAUCAACCAUUUUUGACAGUUCUGCGUGUAACCUACGCAAUUGUGGAAUUUCCCUUUUCAUCAAUUCGAUACCUUGUCUCUGGCGGGAAUUGGUCUUUGUUUACCACAGUGCUUAUGGUUUAGCAGAUUUGAGGGUUUCUUAUGAGUUUUAAGUUUGUCCACAAACCCCUUCUGGGCAUCAGGCUGUUAUCAAUCAAUGUUGAUGAAGUUCAUUUGAAGAUGGCAAUCGCCAUGACACUCGUUAUUACGUUCCGGUCUUGUUCUGCAUGACUUUUGGAAAGCUGACGAAGUCUCUGAGGUGUAGGUACAGGCACAAUAGUCCGUAGAGGAGCUCAUUAUUUUUUUAUGAUCUGUUCUUAUCAUAGACUUCAGCUUUAUCAAGCGAUAUGUAAUCGUUCAGUAAUAAUUCUAUCGUUCUUCUGUGAUGUUGUAAUGGGGAA